GGGAGGAUGGCCGAGUGGUUAAGGCGCUGUGUUUAGGUCUUGCUUUUCAGGGAGACUUGGAACGUUACAAUGGCAGAAACCGCAGUGGGAAACCUCGUGGGUUCGAAUCCCACUCCUCUCA
rfam:Cyphellophora europaea CBS 101466 unplaced genomic scaffold supercont1.4, whole genome shotgun sequence.